GACGUAGGGUGCGAGCGUUGUCCGGAUUUAUUGGGCGUAAAGAGCUCGUAGGCGGCUCGUCGCGUCGACCGUGAAAACCCGCAGCUUAACUGCGGGCUUGCGGUUGAUACGGGCGGGCUAGAGUUCGGUAGGGGAGACUGGAAUUCCUGGUGUAGCGGUGAAAUGCGCAGAUAUCAGGAGGAACACCGGUGGCGAAGGCGGGUCUCUAGGCCGAUACUGACGCUGAGGAGCGAAAGCCAGGGGAGCAAACGGG
rnacentral:rRNA from 1 species